rnacentral:rRNA from 1 species
UACGGAGGGGGCGAGCGUUGUCCGGAAUCAUUGGGCGUAAAGGGCGCGUAGGUGGCCUGCUAAGCGAGCGGUGAAAGUCGGGGGCUCAACCCCCGAUCGGCCGUGCGAACUGGGAGGCUUGAGCACUGUAGAGGCAGGCGGAAUUCCGGGUGUAGCGGUGGAAUGCGUAGAGAUCAGGAAGAACACCGGUGGCGAAGGCGGCCAUCUGGACCGGCACUGACGCUGAGGCGCGAAAGCGUGGGGAGCAAACAGG